CCUACGGGAGGCAGCAGUGAGGAAUAUUGGUCAAUGGACGAGAGUCUGAACCAGCCAAGUAGCGUGAAGGAUGACUGCCCUAUGGUUUGUAAACUUCUUUUAUAUGGGAAUAAAAUGUUCCACGUGUGGGAUUCUGUAUGUACCAUAUGAAUAAGGAUCGGCUAACUCCGUGCCAGCAGCCGCGGUAAUACGGGGGAUCCGAGCGUUAUCUGGAUUUAUUGGGUUUAAAGGGAGCGAAGGUGGAUGGUUAAGUCACUUGUGAAGGUUUGCGGCUCAACCGUAAAAUUGCAGUGGAGACUGGCAGUCUUGAGUGCGGUAGAGGUGGGCGGAAUGCGUGGUGUAGCGGUGAAAUGCAUAGAUAUCACGCAGAACUCCGAUUGCGAAGGCAGUUCACUGAACUGCAACUGACACUGAGGCACGAAAGUGUGGGUAUCAAACAGGAUUAGAUACCCGGGUAGUC
rnacentral:rRNA from 1 species